rnacentral:lncRNA from 1 species
UGAUUUUGAAAUACAAGAUAUUUUUUCCUCCUUAAGAGCAUCUCCAAUAGUCUGUCCAUUAGCCUCUCCAAGCCAAAUUUCAGUAAUUCGCAGCAAAAAAACACCUCCAACAGACUUGCCAACCGGAUAGCCAAGGCAUCCGGCUAGCCAAACAAGCUCCCACCCUGGCCAAAUUUGGCCAGUCUUUGCCCAGCCAAAAAGGGUUGCCAAACAGUGGGCCCCACAUGCACUACUUCUCGUACGCGACUUUGUUGAACGAUGCGGCGACGACGACCACCG